ACAGUGGUUCAGUGGUAGAAUUCUCACCUUCCAUGUGGGAGACCUGGGUUUGACUCCUGGCCAAUGUG
rnacentral:tRNA from 1 species